UCGCUGACGACCGGCGCACGGGUGAGUAACGCGUAUGCAACCUACCUCAAACAGAGGGAUAGCCCAUGGAAACGUGGAUUAAUACCUCAUAAUAUAUGUUUAUCGCAUGAUAGAUAUAUUAAAGUUCCGGCGGUUUGAGAUGGGCAUGCGUGCCAUUAGAUAGUUGGUGAGGUAACGGCUCACCAAGUCAACGAUGGCUACGGGGUCUUAAAGGAUGGUCCCGCACACUGGUACUGAGACACGGACCAGACUCC
rnacentral:rRNA from 1 species